CUAAAGCCCCUUGCUUACACCAAGAUAAUGCCUGUUCAACCCGGGCCAUUUUGA
rnacentral:tRNA from 1 species